rnacentral:rRNA from 1 species
GACGAACGCUGGCGGCGUGCUUAACACAUGCAAGUCGAACGGAAAGGCCCCUUUGGGGGUACUCGAGUGGCGAACGGGUGAGUAACACGUGCGUAACCUGCCCUUGACUUCGGGAUAACUUCAGGAAACUGGGGCUAAUACCGGAUAGGAAUCCUUUCUUCAUGCUGGGGGUUGGAAAGCUUCGGCGGUUUUGGCUGGACUUGCGGCUUAUCAGCUUGUUGGUGGGGUAGUGGCUUACCAAGGCUUUGACGGGUAGCCGGCCUGCGAGGGCGACCGGCCACAAUGGGACUGAGAGACGGCCCAGACACCGACGGGAGGCAGCAGGGGGGAAUAUUGCACAAUGGGCGGAAGCCUGAUGCAGAAACGCCGCGGGCGGGAUGACGGUCUUCGGGUUGAAAACCGAUUUCAGCAGGGGCGAAGCUUGUGGUGACGGUACCUGCAGAAGAAGCACCGGCUAACUACGUG